CCUACGGGAGGCANCAGUAAGGAAUAUUGGACAAUGCUCGCAAGAGUGAUCCAGCCAUGCCGCGUGCAGGAAGAAUGCCCUAUGGGUAGUAAACUGCUUUUGAACUAGAGAAAACCCCAGUACGUGUACUGGGCUGAUAGUAUAGUUAGAAUAAGCAUCGGCUAACUUCGUGCCAGCAGCCGCGGUAAGACGAAGGAUGCAAGCGUUAUCCGGAUUCAUUGGGUUUAAAGGGAGCGUAGGUGGACUGAUAAGUCAGUGGUGAAAUCUCCGAGCUUAACUCGGAAAUUGCCAUUGAUACUGUUGGUCUUGAGUACAGUUGCUGUGGGCGGAAUAUGACAUGCAGUGGUGAAAUACAUAGAGAUGUCAUAGAACACCGAUUGCGAAGGCAGCUCACAAAGCUGUAACUGACACUGAGGCUCGAAAGUGCGGGGAUCAAACAGGAUUAGAUACCCUGGUAGUCCGCACCGUAAACGAUGAUUACUCGCUGCUAGGGGGCAACCUUUAGUGGCUUAGCGAAAGCGAUAAGUAAUCCCACCUGGGGAGUACGCCGGCAAACGGUUGAAACUCAAANAGAGUUAGAGGNGNGAGAGCGACGGCGACACAGGGAGGAGG
rnacentral:rRNA from 1 species